AGGUGAAAAACAGGUCCAGAUGAUGAGAAAAUUGCAGACGAUUGCUAGAGAAAAUUGAUGACAUCUGGUUGUAGCUGACGGGUUUUAAGAGAUCUAAGCCUAAAACCUUCGAAAAUGGUUUUAGGAAAAUUGGUGUGUUUCUUGGCUGGCGUAUACGGUGGAAUUUAUAUUGAUCAGCACUACAAAAUGCCAAAGGUUGAUGACCCUGGUGAAGUUUGGAAGAAAAUAAAAGAUGUAUUGGAGGAAUACAAGAAAGAAGGACCAUCAUAAUGAGACCAAUGGAACAUGUGUUACUAGAACAGAUAGGUUACAGUAUACAUAAAACAUUUGUAUAUUUUGUACAUAAAUGUAUAUGUGUUAUGUGACUGCUAGCUACAUGUAUUAUCAAAUAAGCUAGAAUGGAAUGUGCAGAUAUGAUUUGUGUGAAAAUUGUGAUGUAAAUCAGUCACAUAUUUAAUAACUUACUAUUACAUGUACAUGAACAUUUUUUGCAGCAUGUUUUGUACGUCUUUAUUCUGAUAGAGAGGAAUUUAUGGCUACGUAGAGGUGAUAAAGAUUACAGUUAUUGAUAGAUGCCCUUAGAUAUAAAGGUUUGUUUAAUACCAUGGAUUUAUGUAUGACUGUUUCUCUAAGAGUUACUGGCUCCUAAACUUGUAGAGUUUAUAUGUAUGUUUGAAUUUGCCUGGGGCAAGAGCAACACAAGAAUAUGUGCACAAAAAUCAGGUAACAGAAAAUUACAGCACUCAGUACAUGUAAAGUUACUAGUAAUAUGCUCGAUGAUUGAAGUUUAGAUUGUUCAGAAACAAGUUGGUGCAAGUUUGUCUAUCUAUCAGUGAUGGGUAUCUUUGGUAUGACAUGCAGAAUUCAUUGGUAAUGGGAUUGUUGCUGGGAUUAAUAGGUAAAGUACAAAUUACUUGAAUACAGCUGUGACCAAUUUCACAAUCAUUGUAUGUAUGUUCUAAACUAACCUUUAAUAAAUGCAUCUAACAGUUUCAAGAUAUAAAAGGUAUGAAGGUUAUUUUGUUAUGAAACAAAGAACAAUAAAAUACUAUAUUAAUGA